rnacentral:piRNA from 1 species
UGGCCGUUCUGAGAAUGUCUGUCCUAUGC